rnacentral:tRNA from 1 species
CCACAUCACCACUCUGCCAUUUUCUU